rnacentral:sRNA from 1 species
GCUGGGUGUGGUGGUGCAUGCCUGUAAUCCCAGCAGCUUGGGAGGCUGAGACAGGAGGAUGGCAAGUUCAAAGCCAGCUUCAGCAAAGGCAAGGUGCUAAGCAACUCAGUGAGACCCUGUCUCUA